UACGUAUGGGGCAAGCGUUAUCCGGAUUUACUGGGCGUAAAGGAUGCGUAGGCGGUUAAACAAGUUAUAUGUUAAAUAUAUAGGCUUAACCUGUAGAAAGCAUAUAAAACUGUUUAACUAGAGUGCAGGAGAGGUAAGUGGAAUUCCUAGUGUAGCGGUGAAAUGCGUAGAGAUUAGGAAGAACACCAGUGGCGAAGGCGACUUACUGGACUGUAACUGACGUUGAGGCUCGAAGGCGUGGGGAGCAAACAGG
rnacentral:rRNA from 1 species